ACUCAAAUAGUUUAAUAAAAAUAUUAGUUUGUGGAGCUUAAGAUGUAAGGUAAUUACUUUGAGUA
rnacentral:tRNA from 2 species